UAGGGAGACCUACCCGCAUUGAUGUUCGAAAGCAAUUUGCGAUUAGAGCCAAUGUUGGUCAUCCCAAGGUCGUUCAAGAUUAAGUGUUGGCUUUCAAACUAGCUAGGUUUGGUUUAUGGGCUAUUAGCUCAGGUGGUUAGAGCGCACCCCUGAUAAGGGUGAGGUCCCUGGUUCGAGUCCAGGAUGGCCCACCUUAGAAGUUGUUAGUUAGAAGUUGUUAGCUUUUAGUCUUGAUUGAAGGCUAAGGGUUGGGAACCUAGUACUAAGGGCUUCAUCUGGGGGUUUAGCUCAGUUGGUAGAGCGCCUGCUUUGCAAGCAGGAUGUCAACGGUUCGAGUCCGUUAACCUCCACUGGGUUAUUUAGUUAAGACCGUUAGCGAAUGUGAGUUAAUUUCAGCAACUUGUCUAGYUUUUGAACUAGAGAGCCUGCUGGAUUUAGUUCCAGCCAGAACCUUGAAAACUGCAUAGUAACUUGUCAGGUAGAACAAUUUUUAGUUCUUUGCCUUUGUUGAAUGGUGUUCGCACUGUUUUACACAGACGGCAAAAGUUAAAGAUUGUAGUCACAGACACCAAUGCAAUUGAUAGUG
rnacentral:tRNA from 1 species